rnacentral:rRNA from 1 species
UACGCAGGUGGCAAGCGUUAUCCGGAUUUAUUGGGUGUAAAGGGCGUGUAGGCGGGAAUGCAAGUCAGAUGUGAAAACUAUGGGCUCAACCCAUAGCCUGCAUUUGAAACUGUAUUUCUUGAGUGCUGGAGAGGCAAUCGGAAUUCCGUGUGUAGCGGUGAAAUGCGUAGAUAUACGGAGGAACACCAGUGGCGAAGGCGGAUUGCUGGACAGUAACUGACGCUGAGGCGCGAAAGCGUGGGGAGCAAACAGG